rnacentral:rRNA from 1 species
GACAGAUGAACCUAUAUCAGAUUAGCUAGUUGGUGGGGUAAAGGCCUACCAAGGCGACGAUCUGUAGCUGGUUUGAGAGAAUGAUCAGCCACACUGGGACUGAGACACGGCCCAGACUCCUACGGGAGGCAGCAGUGGGGAAUAUUGGACAAUGGGGGCAACCCUGAUCCAGCAAUGCCGCGUGUGUGAAGAAGGCCUUCGGGUUGUAAAGCACUUUAAGUUGGGAGGAAAAGCUGGGAGUUAAUAGCUCCUAGUAUUGACGUUACCAACAGAAUA